GCCGACAAGAGCAAACCCGGCGCAAGCCGGGGACGCAAAGCCACAGAGCCCAUGAGGCUGGCUGGGCUACCGACC
rnacentral:ncRNA from 1 species